rnacentral:rRNA from 1 species
UACGGAGGUGGCAAGCGUUGUCCGGAUUUACUGGGCGUAAAGAGCGCGCAGGCGGUCGUUCAAGUCGCGUGUGAAAGCCCCCGGCUCAACUGGGGAGGGUCACGCGAUACUGAUCGACUCGAAGGCAGGAGAGGGAAGUGGAAUUCCCGGUGUAGUGGUGAAAUGCGUAGAUAUCGGGAGGAACACCAGUGGCGAAGGCGACUUCCUGGCCUGUUCUUGACGCUGAGGCGCGAAAGCUAGGGGAGCAAACGGG